AAUGCUGACAUAAGUAACGAUAAAGCGGGUGAAAAGCCCGCUCGCCGGAAGACCAAGGGUUCCUGUCCAACGUUAAUCGGGGCAGGGUGAGUCGACCCCUAAGGCGAGGCCGAAAGGCGUAGUCGAUGGGAAACAGGUUAAUAUUCCUGUACUUGGUGUUACUGCGAAGGGGGGACGGAGAAGGCUAUGUUGGCCGGGCGACGGUUGUCCCGGUUUAAGCGUGUAGGCUGGUUUUCCAGGCAAAUCCGGAAAAUCAAGGCUGAGGCGUGAUGACGAGGCACUACGGUGCUGAAGCAACAAAUGCCCUGCUUCCAGGAAAAGCCUCUAAGCAUCAGGUAACAUCAAAUCGUACCCCAAACCGACACAGGUGGUCAGG
rnacentral:rRNA from 1 species